rfam:Methanobrevibacter curvatus strain DSM 11111 MBCTR_contig000161, whole genome shotgun sequence.
GCCCUGGUAGUGUAGUUUGGAUAACACAUAGGACUGCGGAUCCUUUACCCCGGGUUCAAAUCCCGGCCAGGGCA